UUGCCAGCCCGCUCAGAACUCAAAGGAAGUUGACGGGGCCCGCACAAGCGGUGGAGUAUGUGGUUUAAUUCGAUGCAACGCGAAGAACCUUACCUGGUCUUGACAUCCCGGAGACCCUUAGGAAACUAGGGGGUGCUUCCAUCUGGAAGAAUCUGGAGACAGGUGCUGCAUGGCUGUCGUCAGCUCGUGUCGUGAGAUGUUGGGUUAAGUCCCGCAACGAGCGCAACCCUUGCCUUUAGUUGCCAGCAGUUCGGCUGGGCACUCUAAAGGGACUGCCGGUGUUAAACCGGAGGAAGGUGGGGAUGACGUCAAGUCCUCAUGGCCUUUAUGACCAGGGCUACACACGUACUACAAUGGCCGAUACAAAGGGCAGCGACACUGCGAGGUGAAGCCAAUCCCGUAAAAUCGGUCUCAGUCCGGAUUGGAGUCUGCAACUCGACUCCAUGAAGUUGGAAUCGCUAGUAAUCGUGGAUCAGCAUGCCACGGUGAAUACGUUCCCGGGCCUU
rnacentral:rRNA from 1 species